rnacentral:rRNA from 1 species
AGGACGAACGCUGGCGGCGUGCCUAACACAUGCAAGUCGAACGAGAUCCAACUUGUGGCAACACUUGUGAAGAUCUAGUGGCGAACGGGUGAGUAACACGUGAGGAACCUACCCCGGAGACCGGGAUAACUGGCCGAAAGGCCAGCUAAUACCGGAUGUCCCCAUCGGAUCGCAUGGUCUGAUGUGGAAAUGGGAUUCCGCUCCGGGAGGCCUCGCGGCCCAUCAGCUCGUUGGUGAGGUAACGGCUCACCAAGGCAUCGACGGGUAGCUGGUCUGAGAGGACGACCAGCCACACUGGGACUGAGACACGGCCCAGACUCCUACGGGAGGCAGCAGUGGGGAAUCUUGCGCAAUGGGCGAAAGCCUGACGCAGCAACGCCGCGUGGGGGAUGAAGGCCUUCGGGUUGUAACCCCUUUCAGCAGGGACGAAUUGACGGUACCUGCAGAAGAAGCCCCGGCUAACUACGUGCCAGCAGCCGCGGU